UGGCUGUAGCACUCACUGGGUUUUCGUGACCUCUCUCCACUUUCUACACUGGGAGAUCAAGUUCGCCAAGCUGUGUACUUAGUAGAGUGAAGGCAAAUAUUGAAAGAGCACUCACAGCAGGGUCUUCACAUGCAAGGUGAGCCCGGCACUGCUCCCUGAAUGACAAAUCUGCAGACCAGGAACAUGAACGCUGGAUCAGCCACUAGUUGUGCCCCUUCCCUUGCAAGUCAGAUCCUCCCCAUUGAAAUGAAACCGACAGAACUAUUUUUAAAGAGUGUGCCUCUGAAAAGAAGCAUCUUCUGCAAUGAACCUUCGCCAUUGUCAAAAUGGUCAAUUUCUAUGCAUCCUCCCUUUCUUCAAGGGCUGAUUCACACAUCACAUCCCCCACCCCCGCCCAGCAAACAGAUGUGGGAGAAUCACUUGUGUGGCAAAACAAACCCUUGUGACAACUUAUAUGUGUUAUUGUUCCUGCUUGAAGAUCUCUUUGUAGGAAAAAUGCAUGAGUGAAGUGGCCAAAACGUAACAUAUUCUGUGAAACAAGUCUUUUAAAAACAUGAAAUUCCAGAGCAAAUUACAUACUUAUGUUCAUGUUUAUAUACUGCUAUCUCUCUCUUCAAAUGUGUUUUCCCUUUUCAAUAAAUGCACUUUAAACUA